GAUGAACGCUAGCGGCAGGCUUAAUACAUGCAAGUCGAGGGGUAGCAAGAUUGUAGCAAUACAAUUGUUGACGACCGGCAAACGGGUGCGGAACACGUACACAACCUUCCUACAAGUGGGGAAUAGCCCAGAGAAAUUUGGAUUAAUACCCCGUAACAUAGCGAUGUGGCAUCACAUUGCUAUUAUAGCUUCGGCGCUUGUUGAUGGGUGUGCGGCUGAUUAGAUAGUUGGCGGGGUAACGGCCCACCAAGUCUACGAUCAGUAGCUGAUGUGAGAGCAUGAUAAGCCACACGGGCACUGAGACACGGGCCCGACUCCUACGGGAGGCAACAGUAAGGAAUAUUGGACAAUGGACGCAAGUCUGAUCCAGCCAUGCCGCGUGAAGGAUUAAGGUCCUCUGGAUUGUAAACUUCUUUUAUAAGGGACGAAAAAAGGUCUUUCUAGAUCGUCUGACGGUACCUUAUGAAUAAGCACCGGCUAACUCCGUGCCAGCCGCCGCGGUAAAAC
rnacentral:rRNA from 1 species